GGUGUCCUUGUAAGAAGGGGAAAUUUGAACAUAGACACAUACAUAGAUAGGGAAGGAAAUGCGAAGACACACAGAAAGAUGACCAUCUUACAAGCCAACAAGAGAGGUCUUAAGCAGAUCCUCUCACAAUCUCAGAAGGCACCAACACUGCCAACAUUUCACUCUCUGACUUCCAGCCUCCAGAAGUAGAUCAGGAUAGAAUUGCUGUUUGACAUCUCUCCCAACUUCCUUAUGCUCUCCGGAGCAGAACACUUCACAGCAGUUAUCAAUCCCAGGGGGAGGAUCCAAACACUUCUUCCUAUUGCAUCUUGGAACUGGAGUCACUAAGAAAAAUGCAACAUGGUCAAGCACUGGGUAGAACAACACACUUUACUUACAGAGAGAAGAAACAGAACAAGAUAAGCUUAAUAGAGUGCUGUGAUCCCUUAUGGCUAGCACGUCACCCAGGCAGGUCACCCAGGCAGGUGGCUGAGAAUGGGCAAUUGGCCUACACGCACCCCUGUCGGGCUGAAGCAGAAGAACCCAACCCCUCCUCCAUGGAGUCUGAAAUAGUAAAAACUGGGUAUGUUCCUGAGGACCAUUGACUUACGAGCUUAAACGGAACAAAGGAGUGCACCCUGAGCUUAUAAGAAAAGAUACUUGCAUAUAAGACAAUAGGCCCUGCAGAGGCUAUCUGGGCUUUUGAUGUUUUGCAAUAAAAAAUUUCUAGGAUCAAGGCCCAUUUUUAUGCAGUCAACUGGGGGUGGAAAGACCCCACAAACUACCUUUCCCAACAGCCUGUCUUCCUUGUUGAGAAAAUUCUCUCAAGGUAUUUACCAGCAGUAAGUUGUUUGAUCCUCUAGAAUGUCUAAUGUCAUCUUGAUGUUGGAUUAUUGUGUUACCAAGCUAACACAAGUGAUGCCAAGAAUAGCCUGAGAAAUGCAGCAGUAAGAUGGGGAUUUAUGACUGACCCACCCCCUUGCUGGCGGGUGAGAGGAUGCCAUCUCUGUUGGAAGGAAGAAAGGCCUGCAGAUACAAUAGAAAAGCCUUCACACAAAUCUGCUGGAGAAGUAGAUCCGGGUGAAACAGCAGGAAAACUGUCGUAAAAAUGCAUAUCUCAGAUCUCCUACUAGUAGGGUCAUAAGCAACCCAUGACUCCAGCUGCUGAGGUCUAAAUCUGUCACUACUUAUGCUCGGAGACUAUUUCCUGUGGAGGAAGUAUUCUUAACCAAUUACUGCAUUUGGCUGUGAUAUGAAAGUUGGCUCAGUCCUGUAAGUUUCCAGAUUCUUCUAAGAGUGAACUGCAUUGUAAUCUGAGAAUUUAUGUUUUCCCUUCCUUUCAUUCUUCUCUUUCAAAGGGUUUAGUACUACAUUGUAGUUCGAUGGUUUUCCAGCCUCCUCUGGUUUCUCAAUACACAAAAGUUCUUCCAGUAAAUCUUUUACAUACAUAA
ensembl:lncRNA LINC00559 long intergenic non-protein coding RNA 559